CUAAGAAUAUUCCGCAAUGGACGGAAGUCUGACGGAGCGACGCCGCGUGGAUGAAGAAGGCCGAAAGGUUGUAAAGUUCUUUUGCUAGGGGAGAAUAAGUGAGGGAGGGAAUGCCCUCAUGAUGACACGGACUAGCGAAUAAGCCCCGGCCAACUACGUGCCAGCAGCCGCGGUAACGCGUAGGGGGCGGGCGUUGUUCGGAAUUACUGGGCGUAAAGGGCAUGUAGGCGGCUUGGUAAGCCUGGCGUGAAAGACUGCAGCUUAACUGUAGGGAUGCGUUGGGAACUGCAUAGCUUGAGUUACGGAGAGGGAGCUGGAAUUCCUGGUGUAGGGGUGAAAUCUGUAGAUAUCAGGAAGAACACCGAUGGCGAAGGCAAGCUUCUGGUCGAUAACUGACGCUGAGGUGCGAAAGUGUGGGGAUCAAACA
rnacentral:rRNA from 1 species